rnacentral:rRNA from 1 species
UCCUGUCUGAAUAUGGGGGGACCAUCCUCCAAGGCUAAAUACUCCUGACUGACCGAUAGUGAACCAGUACCGUGAGGGAAAGGCGAAAAGAACCCCGGCGAGGGGAGUGAAAAAGAACCUGAAACCGUGUACGUACAAGCAGUGGGAGCCCCACCACUAAGCCAGUGGUGAACUCCACAUACGCAUCCUUUGCUGARGRURCGGUUAACGGAGCGCAAGCGACGUUCAACCKCAAAAGAAGCAGAGGGGGCUUAGUGGUGGGGUGACUGCGUACCUUUUGUAUAAUGGGUCAGCGACUUAUAUUCUGUAGCAAGGUUAACCGMAUAGGGGAGCCGSAGGGAAACCGAGUCUUAAUUGGGCGUUAAGUUGCAGGGUAUAGACCCGAAACCCGGUGAUCUAGCCAUGGGCAGGUUGAAGGUUGGGUAACACUAACUGGAGGACCGAACCGACUAAUGUUGAAAAAUUAGCGGAUGACCUGUGGCUGG